UAGACAACCUGCGGAAGGAUCAUUGUCGUGACCCUGACCAAAACAGACCGUGAACAUGUCAUCUAUGCUGCCGUUUGAUGGGUCUUGCACCUAUCUCUCGGUUUAGGCCGCCAACCUUCUUCCGGAGGGAUGCGUGGCCAAAAGAACCCACGGCGUCGUAUGGCGUCAAGGAAAACAUAUGUUGCCUUGCCUGGGGCUGUGAUCGGCUUGCCGGACACACCUCUCGCAGCGAUGCUAUGAAAUUUCACAUGACUCUCGGCAACGGAUAUCUCGGCUCUUGCAUCGAUGAAGAACGUAGCAAAAUGCGAUACCUGGUGUGAAUUGCAGAAUCCCGUGAACCAUCAAGUUUUUGAACGCAAGUUGCGCCUAAGGCCUUUUGGCCAAGGGCACGUCUGCCUGGGCGUCACGCCAAAAGACACUCCACACCAACUCUGGUAUGGACGUGGUGUUUGGCCCCCCAUACCACAUGGUUAUGAUGGGCUUAAGAUGUGGCUAUCGGCAGGUGCCGAUCAGAGCACAAGGUGGAUGACACAUGUUAUUCUCGGUGUUAUGAUCUGGAGAACUCCUUGCUAUGUUAUGGCCCUUAAUUGACCCAUGUUUUUGAGUGCAUGCCGCUCGGUCUGCGACCCCAGGUCAGUCGGGAUUACCCGCCGAAUUUAAGCAUAUAAAUAAGCGGAGGAAAAGAAACUUACAAGGAUUCCCCUAGUAACGGCGAGCGAACCGGGGAAUUCUAACUGGC
rnacentral:rRNA from 1 species